rnacentral:rRNA from 1 species
GACGAACGCUGGCGGCGUGCUUAACACAUGCAAGUCGAGCGGAAAGGCCACUUCGGUGGUACUCGAGCGGCGAACGGGUGAGUAACACGUGAGUAAUCUGCCCCUGGCUUUGGGAUAGCCACCGGAAACGGGGAUUAAUACCGGAUACGACCACUUCUCGCAUGGGAUGGUGGUGGAAAGUUUUUUCGGCCAGGGAUGUGCUCGCGGCCUAUCAGCUUGAUGGUGGGGUAAUGGCUCACCAUGGCUUCGACGGGUAGCCGGCCUGGGAGGGUGACCGGUCACACUGGGACUGGGACACGGCCCAGACGCGUACGGGAGGCAGCAGUGGGGAAUAUUGGACAAUGGGCGGAAGCCUGAUCCGGCAACGCAGCGUGAGGGAUGACGGCCUUCGGGUUGUAAACCUCUUUCAGCAGGGACGAAGCGCAAGUGACGGUACCUGCAGAAGAAGCACCGGCCAACUACGUGCCAGCCGCCGCGGUAA